rnacentral:rRNA from 1 species
ACAGGACGCUCUGAUUCCUUCGGGAUGAAGUUGUCGCUGACGAGUGGCGGACGGGUGAGUAAUGCAUAGGAAUCUACCCAGUAGUGGGGGAUAACGUGGAGAAAUCCACGCUAAUACCGCAUAUGUCCUACGGGACAAAGCAGGGGACCUUCGGGCCUUGCGCUAUUGGAUGAGCCUAUGUCGGAUUAGCUUGUUGGUGAGGUAAAAGCUCACCAAGGCGACGAUCCGUAGCUGGUCUGAGAGGAUGAUC